AGUGAACGCUGGCGGCGUGCUUAAUACAUGCAAGUCGAACGAUGAAGUCCUAGCUUGCUAGGAUGGAUUAGUGGCGCACGGGUGAGUAAUAUAUAGUUAAUCUGCCUUGCACUGAGGAACAACAGUUGGAAACGAUUGCUAAUACCUCAUACUCCAACUUUACAUAAGUUAAGUUGGGAAAGUCUUUUCGGUGCAAGAUGAGACUAUAUCGUAUCAGCUAGUUGGUAAGGUAAUGGCUUACCAAGGCUAUGACGCGUAACUGGUCUGAGAGGAUGAUCAGUCACAUUGGAACUGAGACACGGUCCAAACUCCUACGGGAGGCAGCAGGAAGGAAUAUUGUGCAAUGGGGGAAACCCUGACGCAGCAACGCCGCGUGGAGGAUGACACUUGUCGGAGCGUAAACUCCUUUUGUUAGGGAAGAAUAAUGACGGUACCUAACGAAUAAGCACCGGCUAACUCCGUG
rnacentral:rRNA from 1 species